rnacentral:tRNA from 1 species
GCCGGUAUGACUCAGUGGUUAGAGCAUGGGCCCAAGCACCAAAGGGUCAUGGGUUCAAUUCCCAGUCACCGGCA